rnacentral:tRNA from 1 species
GCGGCUCUACCCCAACAGGCAGAGGGGCCAGUUUCAGGAACUGGAUGUUCCGGGUUCGAAUCCCGGGAGCCGCACCA